rnacentral:rRNA from 1 species
GGGUUGUGAGGUUAAGCGACUAAGCGUACACGGUGGAUGCCCUGGCAGUCAGAGGCGAUGAAGGACGUGCUAAUCUGCGAUAAGCGUCGGUAAGGUGAUAUGAACCGUUAUAACCGGCGAUUUCCGAAUGGGGAAACCCAGUGUGAUUCGUCACACUAUCAUUAACUGAAUCCAUAGGUUAAUGAGGCGAACCGGGGGAACUGAAACAUCUAAGUACCCCGAGGAAAAGAAAUCAACCGAGAUUCCCCCAGUAGCGGCGAGCGAACGGGGAGGAGCCCAGAGCCUGAAUCAGUGUGUGUGUUAGUGGAAGCGUCUGGAAAGGCGCGCGAUACAGGGUGACAGCCCCGUACACAAAAAUGCACAUGCUGUGAGCUCGAUGAGUAGGGCGGGACACGUGGUAUCCUGUCUGAAUAUGGGGGGACCAUCCUCCAAGGCUAAAUACUCCUGACUGACCGAUAGUGAACCAGUACCGUGAGGGAAAGGCGAAAAGAACCCCGGCGAGGGGAGUGAAAAAGAACCUGAAACCGUGUACGUACAAGCAGUGGGAGCACGCUUAGGCGUGUGACUGCGUACCUUUUGUAUAAUGGGUCAGCGACUUAUAUUCUGUAGCAAGGUUAACCGAAUAGGGGAGCCGAAGGGAAACCGAGUCUUAACUGGGCGUUAAGUUGCAGGGUAUAGACCCGAAACCCGGUGAUCUAGCCAUGGGCAGGUUGAAGGUUGGGUAACACUAACUGGAGGACCGAACCGACUAAUGUUGAAAAAUUAGCGGAUGACUUGUGGCUGGGGGUGAAAGGCCAAUCAAACCGGGAGAUAGCUGGUUCUCCCCGAAAGCUAUUUAGGUAGCGCCUCGUGAAUUCAUCUCCGGGGGUAGAGCACUGUUUCGGCAAGGGGGUCAUCCCGACUUACCAACCCGAUGCAAACUGCGAAUACCGGAGAAUGUUAUCACGGGAGACACACGGCGGGUGCUAACGUCCGUCGUGAAGAGGGAAACAACCCAGACCGCCAGCUAAGGUCCCAAAGUCAUGGUUAAGUGGGAAACGAUGUGGGAAGGCCCAGACAGCCAGGAUGUUGGCUUAGAAGCAGCCAUCAUUUAAAGAAAGCGUAAUAGCUCACUGGUCGAGUCGGCCUGCGCGGAAGAUGUAACGGGGCUAAACCAUGCACCGAAGCUGCGGCAGCGACACUGUGUGUUGUUGGGUAGGGGAGCGUUCUGUAAGCCUGCGAAGGUGUGCUGUGAGGCAUGCUGGAGGUAUCAGAAGUGCGAAUGCUGACAUAAGUAACGAUAAAGCGGGUGAAAAGCCCGCUCGCCGGAAGACCAAGGGUUCCUGUCCAACGUUAAUCGGGGCAGGGUGAGUCGACCCCUAAGGCGAGGCCGAAAGGCGUAGUCGAUGGGAAACAGGUUAAUAUUCCUGUACUUGGUGUUACUGCGAAGGGGGGACGGAGAAGGCUAUGUUGGCCGGGCGACGGUUGUCCCGGUUUAAGCGUGUAGGCUGGUUUUCCAGGCAAAUCCGGAAAAUCAAGGCUGAGGCGUGAUGACGAGGCACUACGGUGCUGAAGCAACAAAUGCCCUGCUUCCAGGAAAAGCCUCUAAGCAUCAGGUAACAUCAAAUCGUACCCCAAACCGACACAGGUGGUCAGGUAGAGAAUACCAAGGCGCUUGAGAGAACUCGGGUGAAGGAACUAGGCAAAAUGGUGCCGUAACUUCGGGAGAAGGCACGCUGAUACGUAGGUGAAGUCCCUCGCGGAUGGAGCUGAAAUCAGUCGAAGAUACCAGCUGGCUGCAACUGUUUAUUAAAAACACAGCACUGUGCAAACACGAAAGUGGACGUAUACGGUGUGACGCCUGCCCGGUGCCGGAAGGUUAAUUGAUGGGGUCAGCGCAAGCGAAGCUCUUGAUCGAAGCCCCGGUAAACGGCGGCCGUAACUAUAACGGUCCUAAGGUAGCGAAAUUCCUUGUCGGGUAAGUUCCGACCUGCACGAAUGGCGUAAUGAUGGCCAGGCUGUCUCCACCCGAGACUCAGUGAAAUUGAACUCGCUGUGAAGAUGCAGUGUACCCGCGGCAAGACGGAAAGACCCCGUGAACCUUUACUAUAGCUUGACACUGAACAUUGAGCCUUGAUGUGUAGGAUAGGUGGGAGGCUUUGAAGUGUGGACGCCAGUCUGCAUGGAGCCGACCUUGAAAUACCACCCUUUAAUGUUUGAUGUUCUAACGUUGACCCGUAAUCCGGGUUGCGGACAGUGUCUGGUGGGUAGUUUGACUGGGGCGGUCUCCUCCUAAAGAGUAACGGAGGAGCACGAAGGUUGGCUAAUCCUGGUCGGACAUCAGGAGGUUAGUGCAAUGGCAUAAGCCAGCUUGACUGCGAGCGUGACGGCGCGAGCAGGUGCGAAAGCAGGUCAUAGUGAUCCGGUGGUUCUGAAUGGAAGGGCCAUCGCUCAACGGAUAAAAGGUACUCCGGGGAUAACAGGCUGAUACCGCCCAAGAGUUCAUAUCGACGGCGGUGUUUGGCACCUCGAUGUCGGCUCAUCACAUCCUGGGGCUGAAGUAGGUCCCAAGGGUAUGGCUGUUCGCCAUUUAAAGUGGUACGCGAGCUGGGUUUAGAACGUCGUGAGACAGUUCGGUCCCUAUCUGCCGUGGGCGCUGGAGAAUUGAGGGGGGCUGCUCCUAGUACGAGAGGACCGGAGUGGACGCAUCACUGGUGUUCGGGUUGUCAUGCCAAUGGCACUGCCCGGUAGCUAAAUGCGGAAGAGAUAAGUGCUGAAAGCAUCUAAGCACGAAACUUGCCCCGAGAUGAGUUCUCCCUGACUCCUUGAGAGUCCUGAAGGAACGUUGAAGACGACGACGUUGAUAGGCCGGAUGUGUAAGCGCAGCGAUGCGUUGAGCUAACCGGUACUAAUGAACCGUGAGGCUUAACCUUACAACGCCGAAGGUGUUU